rnacentral:rRNA from 1 species
UACGAGGGGGGCGAGCGUUGUUCGGAAUUACUGGGCGUAAAGCGUGCGCAGGCGGCCAUUCAAGUCAGGGGUGAAAGCCCAGAGCUCAACUCUGGAACUGCCUUUGAAACUGUAUGGCUUGAGUAUGAGAGAGGUGAGUGGAAUUCCCAGUGUAGAGGUGAAAUUCGUAGAUAUUGGGAAGAACACCGGUGGCGAAGGCGGCUCACUGGCUCAUAACUGACGCUCAUGCACGACAGCGUGGGGAUCGAACAGG